rnacentral:rRNA from 1 species
AUUGAACGCUGGCGGCAGGCCUAACACAUGCAAGUCGAGCGGAGCGGCGGACGGGUGAGUAAUGCCUAGGAAUCUGCCUGGUAGUGGGGGCUGAGGUCCGGUAACGGGCGCUAAUACCGCCUACUCUCAGAUGUGCCUCGGUCGGAUUAGCUAGUUGGUGGGGUAAAGGCGUACCAAGGCGACGAUCCGUACCUGGUCUGAGAGGAUGAGCAGUCACACUGGAACUGAGACACGGUACAGACUCCUACGGGAGGCAGCAGUGGGGAAUAUUGGACAAUGGGCGAAAGCCUGAAACAGCCAUGCCGCGUGUGUGAAGAAGGGCUUCGGAUUGUAAAGCACUUUAAGUUGGGAGGCGUUACCAACAGAAGAAGCACCGGCUAACUUCGUGCCAGCAGCCGCGGUAAUUC